rnacentral:lncRNA from 1 species
AAAGGUAGAGGAUCCAACACUAUGCCUUUGAUGUACUCGAAACCUCGUAGCUGAUUUGUGGCAUGCAAUGAGGGUUACCAUAUAUAACACUUAGAAAUGCACUGAAAUGGUGAAAUGCAAGAGGUCUACAGAACUAAGAUACUUCCUCUUUUCUUUUCUUCUCCAUUACUACUUAUGAUGAUUUAGCGCGUGACAUGAUAAAGUAAUUAAUCCAUCCUAUAAGUCUGUCAGAGUGAAUAGAUGAUCUUACCUUGUUCUUCUGUGCAACAGCUGUCAGCUCUUUCAGGAUGUACUCCUUAAGGCCUUCAAGUUUGCAGAUUUCACCGAAAGACCCCUUGUAGCCGUUGGACUCUGCCCACUUCAUCGUGUUUUCUUCAUGUGGAUUGACUACUGCAACUAAAUUUGAUCUGAAGCUGUCCCCAUAUACCCAGAUCUAGAAAAAGGAGGGAAAUGACAGUAUUAAAUGUUGACCAGUAUUCUCUCUUAAUUCAGUUUGCUAUAUCCACUGGAUUUUUUUUUUCUUACAUCUUCAACAAGUGGAGGGAAGCCAUAUACUUUCUCGAGGUACUCAACUGCAACAUAUUCCCCCUGUGACAACUUAAAUAUGUUCUUUUUUCGGUCAAUUACCUUCAAGAUUCCAUCCGGGGUCAUCUCUCCAAUGUCGCCUGACAAUAAAUGUGUGUCUGAGCAUUCUACUGCAGAAGCUUAUCUAAAUUUCUGUUUUGAUUAAAUUAAUUGUUCACCUGUAUGAAACCAUCCAUCAACUAUGGCUUCGUUUGUGAGCUCAGGAUUUUUGUAGUACCCAGCAAAGAGAGACUUCCCUCGAAUGCAGAUUUCACCACGUGAAGGGACACCAAGUGGAUCAUAGCCCAUCUCAGGUACUUCUUCCAGUCGUAUUUCAGUGUAGGUGGCAGGUACGCCAACACUUCCAACCAGGGCC